GCUGGGUGGAUUAGUGGCUAACGGGUGACUAACACGUGAGUAACCUGCCCUUGACUUCGGGAUAACUCCGGGAAACCGGGGCUAAUACCGGAUAUGAGCCGCCUUCGCAUGGGGGUGGUUGGAAAGUUUUUCGGUCAGGGAUGGGCUCGCGGCCUAUCAGCUUGUUGGUGGGGUGAUGGCCUACCAAGGCGACGACGGGUAGCCGGCCUGAGAGGGCGACCGGCCACACUGGGACUGAGACACGGCCCAGACUCCUACGGGAGGCAGCAGUGGGGAAUAUUGCACAAUGGGCGAAAGCCUGAUGCAGCGACGCCGCGUGAGGGAUGAAGGCCUUCGGGUUGUAAACCUCUUUCAGCAGGGAAGAAGCGCAAGUGACGGUACCUGCAGAAGAAGCGCCGGCUAACUACGUGCCAGCAGCCGCGGUUAAUACGUAGGGCGCAAGCGUUGUCCGGAAUUAUUUGGGCGUAAAGAGCUCGUARGCGGUUUGUUCGCGUCUGGUGUGAAAACUCGAGGCUCAACCUCUAGCUUGCAUCGGGGUACGGGCAGACUAYAGUGCGGUAUGGGAGACUGGAAUUCCUGGUGUAGCGGUGGAAUGCGCAGAUAUCAGGAGGGAACACCGAUGGCGAAGGCAGGUCUCUGGGCCGCAACUGACGCUGAGGAGCGAAAGCAUGGGGAGCGAACAGGAUUAGAUACCCUGGUAGUCCAUGCCGUAAACGUUGGGCACUAGGUGUGGGGCUCAUUCCACGAGUUCCGUGCCGCAGCAAACGCAUUAAGUGCCCCGCCUGGGGAGUACGGCCGCAAGGCUAAAACUCAAAGGAAUUGACGGGGGCCCGCACAAGCGGCGGAGCAUGCGGAUUAAUUCGAUGCAACGCGAAGAACCUUACCAAGGCUUGACAUGCACGAGAAGCCACCAGAGAUGGUGGUCUCUUUGGACACUCGUGCACAGGUGGUGCAUGGUUGUCGUCAGCUCGUGUCGUGAGAUGUUGGGUUAAGUCCCGCAACGAGCGCAACCCUCGUCCCAUGUUGCCAGCGGGUUAUGCCGGGGACUCAUGGGAGACUGCCGGGGUCAACUCGGAGGAAGGUGGGGAUGACGUCAAAUCAUCAUGCCCCUUAUGUCUUGGGCUUCACGCAUGCUACAAUGGCCGGUACAAAGGGCUGCGAUACCGUAAGGUGGAGCGAAUCCCAAAAAGCCGGUCUCAGUUCGGAUUGGGGUCUGCAACUCGACCCCAUGAAGUCGGAGUCGCUAGUAAUCGCAGAUCAGCAACGCUGCGGUGAAUACGUUCCCGGGCCUUGUACACACCGCCCGUCAAGUCACGAAAGUCGGUAACACCCGAAGCCCAUGGCCCAACCGUUCGCGGGGGGAG
rnacentral:rRNA from 1 species